rnacentral:rRNA from 1 species
UACGAAGGGGGCUAGCGUUGUUCGGAAUUACUGGGCGUAAAGGGCGCGUAGGCGGUACUUCAAGUCAGGCGUGAAAUCCCCGGGCUUAACCUGGGAACUGCGCUUGUGACUGGAAGGCUAGAGUACGGCAGAGGGGGGUGGAAUUCCACGUGUAGCAGUGAAAUGCGUAGAUAUGUGGAGGAAUACCGAUGGCGAAGGCAGCCCCCUGGGCUAAGAUUGACGCUCAUGCACGAAAGCGUGGGGAGCAAACAGG